UACGUAGGGGGCGAGCGUUGUCCGGAUUUAUUGGGCGUAAAGAGCGUGUAGGCGGCCUGGCAGGUCUGCUGUGAAAACUCGAGGCUCAACCUCGAGAUGUCGGCGGAAACCGUCUGGCUAGAGUCCGGAAGAGGAGAGUGGAAUUCCUGGUGUAGCGGUGAAAUGCGUAGAUAUCAGGAGGAAUACCGAUGGCGAAGGCAGGUCUCUGGGCUGACACUGACGCUCAUGCACGAAAGCGUGGGGAGCAAACAGG
rnacentral:rRNA from 1 species